rnacentral:rRNA from 1 species
CUGAAGAGUUUGAUCAUGGCUCAGAUUGAACGCUGGCGGCAGGCCUAACACAUGCAAGUCGAGCGGAAACGAUCCUAGCUUGCUAGGAGGCGUCGAGCGGCGGACGGGUGAGUAACACGUGAGAAUCUGCCCAUUAGUGGGGGAUAACCUGGGGAAACCCAGGCUAAUACCGCAUAAUCCCUACGGGGGAAAGCAGGGGAUCUUCGGACCUUGCGCUAUUGGAUGAGCCUAAGUCGGAUUAGCUAGUUGGUGGGGUAAAGGCCUACCAAGGCGACGAUCCGUAGCUGGUCUGAGAGGAUGAUCAGCCACAUCGGGACUGAGACACGGCCCGAACUCCUACGGGAGGCAGCAGUG